GCCUCGGUGGUGUAGUGAUAGCACGCGUCCCCCAGAUGGUUGAAACGCGGGUUCGACUCCCGCUAAGGACG